GGGUGAUUAGCUCAGUUGGGAGAGCAUCGCCCUUACAAGGCGAUGGUCACUGGUUCAAGUCCAGUAUCACCCACCA
rnacentral:tRNA from 1 species